ACCUGGCUGGCUCAGCCGGUAGAGCAUGUGACUCUUGAUCUUGGGGUCAUGAGUUCAAGUCUCAGGUUGGGCA
rnacentral:tRNA from 1 species